UACGUAGGGUGCAGGCGUUAAUCGGAAUUACUGGGCGUAAAGCGUGCGCAGGCGGUUUGCUAAGACAGGUGUGAAAUCCCCCGGGCUUAACCUGGGAACUGCGCUUGUAACUGGCAAGCUUGAGUGUGGCAGAGGGGGGGUGGAAUUCCACGUGUAGCAGUGAAAUGCGUAGAGAUGUGGAGGAACACCGAUGGCGAAGGCAGCCCCCUGGGCUAACACUGACGCCUCAUGCACGAAAGCGUGGGGAGCAAACAGG
rnacentral:rRNA from 1 species